rnacentral:rRNA from 1 species
UACGAAGGGGGCUAGCGUUGUUCGGAAUACUGGGCGUAAAGCGUGCGCAGGCGGCUUCUCAAGUCAGGGGUGAAAGCCCAGAGCUCAACUCUGGAAUUGCCUUUGAGACUGAGUGGCUUGAGUACGAGAGAGGUGAGUGGAAUUCCCAGUGUAGAGGUGAAAUUCGUAGAUUAUUGGGAAGAACACCGGUGGCGAAGGCGGCUCACUGGCUCGUAACUGACGCUCAUGCACGACAGCGUGGGGAUCAAACAGG